GGAAUAUUGGUCAAUGGGCGCGAGCCUGAACCAGCCAAGUAGCGUGCAGGAAGACGGCCCUAUGGGUUGUAAACUGCUUUUAUGCGGGGAUAAAGUCACCCACGUGUGGGUGUUUGCAGGUACCACAUGAAUAAGGACCGGCUAAUUCCGUGCCAGCAGCCGCGGUAAUACGGAAGGUCCGGGCGUUAUCCGGAUUUAUUGGGUUUAAAGGGAGCGCAGGCUGAUGAUUAAGCGUGACGUGAAAUGUAGCCGCUCAACGGCUGAACUGCGUCGCGAACUGGUUAUCUUGAGUGAGUUCGAUGUUGGCGGAAUUCGUGGUGUAGCGGUGAAAUGCUUAGAUAUCACGAAGAACUCCGAUUGCGAAGGCAGCCAACAAGGCCUUUACUGACGCUAAAGCUCGAAGGUGCGGGUAUCGAACA
rnacentral:rRNA from 1 species